GCAUAUCAAUAAGCGGAGGAAAAGAAACCAACCGGGAUUGCCUUAGUAACGGCGAGUGAAGCGGCAAAAGCUCAAAUUUGAAAUCUGGCGUCUUCGACGUCCGAGUUGUAAUUUGAAGAAGGCGACUUUGUAGCUGGUCCUUGUCUAUGUUCCUUGGAACAGGACGUCAUAGAGGGUGAGAAUCCCGUGUGGCGAGGAUCCCAGUUAUUUGUAAAGUGCUUUCGACGAGUCGAGUUGUUUGGGAAUGCAGCUCUAAGUGGGUGGUAAAUUCCAUCUAAAGCUAAAUAUUGGCGAGAGACCGAUAGCGAACAAGUACAGUGAU
rnacentral:rRNA from 1 species